rnacentral:rRNA from 1 species
CAGCAGGGAAGAAGCGCAAGUGACGGUACCUGCAGAAGAAGCACCGGCUAACUACGUGCCAGCAGCCGCGGUAAUACGUAGGGUGCAAGCGUUGUCCGGAUUUAUUGGGCGUAAAGAGCUCGUAGGCGGUCUGUCGCGUCUGCUGUGAAAACCUGGGGCUUAACUCCGGGCCUGCAGUGGGUACGGGCAGACUAGAGUGCGGUAGGGGAGACUGGAAUUCCUGGUGUAGCGGUGAAAUGCGCAGAUAUCAGGAGGAACACCGGUGGCGAAGGCGGGUCUCUGGGCCGUAACUGACGCUGAGGAGCGAAAGCAUGGGUAGCGAACAGGAUUAGAUACCCUGGUAGUCCAUGCCGUAAACGUUGGGCGCUAGGUGUGGGGCUCAUUCCACGAGUUCCGUGCCGCAGCUAACGCAUUAAGCGCCCCGCCUGGGGAGUACGGCCGCAAGGCUAAAACUCAAAGGAAUUGACGGGGCCCCGCACAAGCGGCGGAGCAUGCGGAUUAAUUCGAUGCAACGCGAAGAACCUUACCAAGGCUUGACAUACAGGGAAAACUCGCAGAGAUGUGAGGUCCGUAAGGGCCCUGUACAGGUGGUGCAUGGUUGUCGUCAGCUCGUGUCGUGA